rnacentral:tRNA from 1 species
GUGUCGGUGGUAUAGUGGUUAGUAUAGCUGCCUUCCAAGCAGAUGGCCCGGGUUCGAUUCCCGGCCGACGCA